rnacentral:rRNA from 1 species
GCGCGGAAGAUGUAACGGGGCUAAACCAUGCACCGAAGCUGCGGCAGCGACGCUGAUGCGUUGUUGGGUAGGGGAGCGUUCUGUAAGCCUGCGAAGGUGGCCUGUGAGGGUUGCUGGAGGUAUCAGAAGUGCGAAUGCUGACAUAAGUAACGAUAAAGCGGGUGAAAAGCCCGCUCGCCGGAAGACCAAGGGUUCCUGUCCAACGUUAAUCGGGGCAGGGUGAGUCGACCCCUAAGGCGAGGCCGAAAGGCGUAGUCGAUGGGAAACGGGUUAAUAUUCCCGUACUUGGUGUUACUGCGAAGGGGGGACGGAGAAGGCUAUGUUGGCCGGGCGACGGUUGUCCCGGUUUAAGCGUGUAGGUGUGUGUUCCAGGUAAAUCCGGUUCACUUUAACACUGAGGCGUGAUGACGAGGCACUACGGUGCUGAAGCAACAAAUGCCCUGCUUCCAGGAAAAGCCUCUAAGCAUCAGGUAACAUCAAAUCGUACCCCAAACCGACACAGGUGGUCAGGUAGAGAAUACCAAGGCGCUUGAGAGAACUCGGGUGAAGGAACUAGGCAAAAUGGUGCCGUAACUUCGGGAGAAGGCACGCUGACACGUAGGUGAAGUGAUUUACUCAUGGAGCUGAAGUCAGUCGAAGAUACCAGCUGGCUGCAACUGUUUAUUAAAAACACAGCACUGUGCAAACACGAAAGUGGACGUAUACGGUGUGACGCCUGCCCGGUGCCGGAAGGUUAAUUGAUGGGGUCAGCGCAAGCGAAGCUCCUGAUCGAAGCCCCGGUAAACGGCGGCCGUAACUAUAACGGUCCUAAGGUAGCGAAAUUCCUUGUCGGGUAAGUUCCGACCUGCACGAAUGGCGUAAUGAUGGCCAGGCUGUCUCCACCCGAGACUCAGUGAAAUUGAACUCGCUGUGAAGAUGCAGUGUACCCGCGGCAAGACGGAAAGACCCCGUGAACCUUUACUAUAGCUUGACACUGAACAUUGAGCCUUGAUGUGUAGGAUAGGUGGGAGGCUUUGAAGUGUGGACGCCAGUCUGCAUGGAGCCGACCUUGAAAUACCACCCUUUAAUGUUUGAUGUUCUAACGUGGACCCGUGAUCCGGGUUGCGGACAGUGUCUGGUGGGUAGUUUGACUGGGGCGGUCUCCUCCUAAAGAGUAACGGAGGAGCACGAAGGUUGGCUAAUCCUGGUCGGACAUCAGGAGGUUAGUGCAAUGGCAUAAGCCAGCUUGACUGCGAGCGUGACGGCGCGAGCAGGUGCGAAAGCAGGUCAUAGUGAUCCGGUGGUUCUGAAUGGAAGGGCCAUCGCUCAACGGAUAAAAGGUACUCCGGGGAUAACAGGCUGAUACCGCCCAAGAGUUCAUAUCGACGGCGGUGUUUGGCACCUCGAUGUCGGCUCAUCACAUCCUGGGGCUGAAGUAGGUCCCAAGGGUAUGGCUGUUCGCCAUUUAAAGUGGUACGCGAGCUGGGUUUAGAACGUCGUGAGACAGUUCGGUCCCUAUCUGCCGUGGGCGCUGGAGAACUGAGGGGGGCUGCUCCUAGUACGAGAGGACCGGAGUGGACGCAUCACUGGUGUUCGGGUUGUCAUGCCAAUGGCACUGCCCGGUAGCUAAAUGCGGAAGAGAUAAGUGCUGAAAGCAUCUAAGCACGAAACUUGCCCCGAGAUGAGUUCUCCCUGAGACUUUAGGUCUCCUGAAGGAACGU